GAGGAGGUGGCUGAGUGGUUGAAAGCGAUAGUUUGCUAAACUGUUAUAUAUAUAAUACUGUAUCAUAGGUUCAAAUCCUAUUCUUCUCA
rnacentral:tRNA from 1 species